GGGUUGUGAGGUUAAGCGACUAAGCGUACACGGUGGAUGCCCUGGCAGUCAGAGGCGAUGAAGGACGUGCUAAUCUGCGAUAAGCGUCGGUAAGGUGAUAUGAACCGUUAUAACCGGCGAUUUCCGAAUGGGGAAACCCAGUGUGAUUCGUCACACUAUCAUUAACUGAAUCCAUAGGUUAAUGAGGCGAACCGGGGGAACUGAAACAUCUAAGUACCCCGAGGAAAAGAAAUCAACCGAGAUUCCCCCAGUAGCGGCGAGCGAACGGGGAGCAGCCCAGAGCCUGAAUCAGUGUGUGUGUUAGUGGAAGCGUCUGGAAAGGCGCGCGAUACAGGGUGACAGCCCCGUACACAAAAAUGCACAUACUGUGAGCUCGAUGAGUAGGGCGGGACACGUGGUAUCCUGUCUGAAUAUGGGGGGACCAUCCUCCAAGGCUAAAUACUCCUGACUGACCGAUAGUGAACCAGUACCGUGAGGGAAAGGCGAAAAGAACCCCGGCGAGGGGAGUGAAAAAGAACCUGAAACCGUGUACGUACAAGCAGUGGGAGCACGCUUCGGCGUGUGACUGCGUACCUUUUGUAUAAUGGGUCAGCGACUUAUAUUCUGUAGCAAGGUUAACCGAAUAGGGGAGCCGAAGGGAAACCGAGUCUUAACUGGGCGUUAAGUUGCAGGGUAUAGACCCGAAACCCGGUGAUCUAGCCAUGGGCAGGUUGAAGGUUGGGUAACACUAACUGGAGGACCGAACCGACUAAUGUUGAAAAAUUAGCGGAUGACUUGUGGCUGGGGGUGAAAGGCCAAUCAAACCGGGAGAUAGCUGGUUCUCCCCGAAAGCUAUUUAGGUAGCGCCUCGUGAAUUCAUCUCCGGGGGUAGAGCACUGUUUCGGCAAGGGGGUCAUCCCGACUUACCAACCCGAUGCAAACUGCGAAUACCGGAGAAUGUUAUCACGGGAGACACACGGCGGGUGCUAACGUCCGUCGUGAAGAGGGAAACAACCCAGACCGCCAGCUAAGGUCCCAAAGUCAUGGUUAAGUGGGAAACGAUGUGGGAAGGCCCAGACAGCCAGGAUGUUGGCUUAGAAGCAGCCAUCAUUUAAAGAAAGCGUAAUAGCUCACUGGUCGAGUCGGCCUGCGCGGAAGAUGUAACGGGGCUAAACCAUGCACCGAAGCUGCGGCAGCGACACUAUGUGUUGUUGGGUAGGGGAGCGUUCUGUAAGCCUGCGAAGGUGGCCUGUGAGGGUUGCUGGAGGUAUCAGAAGUGCGAAUGCUGACAUAAGUAACGAUAAAGCGGGUGAAAAGCCCGCUCGCCGGAAGACCAAGGGUUCCUGUCCAACGUUAAUCGGGGCAGGGUGAGUCGACCCCUAAGGCGAGGCCGAAAGGCGUAGUCGAUGGGAAACAGGUUAAUAUUCCUGUACUUGGUGUUACUGCGAAGGGGGGACGGAGAAGGCUAUGUUGGCCGGGCGACGGUUGUCCCGGUUUAAGCGUGUAGGCUGGUUUUCCAGGCAAAUCCGGAAAAUCAAGGCUGAGGCGUGAUGACGAGGCACUACGGUGCUGAAGCAACAAAUGCCCUGCUUCCAGGAAAAGCCUCUAAGCAUCAGGUAACAUCAAAUCGUACCCCAAACCGACACAGGUGGUCAGGUAGAGAAUACCAAGGCGCUUGAGAGAACUCGGGUGAAGGAACUAGGCAAAAUGGUGCCGUAACUUCGGGAGAAGGCACGCUGAUAUGUAGGUGAAGCGACUUGCUCGUGGAGCUGAAAUCAGUCGAAGAUACCAGCUGGCUGCAACUGUUUAUUAAAAACACAGCACUGUGCAAACACGAAAGUGGACGUAUACGGUGUGACGCCUGCCCGGUGCCGGAAGGUUAAUUGAUGGGGUUAGCGGUAACGCGAAGCUCUUGAUCGAAGCCCCGGUAAACGGCGGCCGUAACUAUAACGGUCCUAAGGUAGCGAAAUUCCUUGUCGGGUAAGUUCCGACCUGCACGAAUGGCGUAAUGAUGGCCAGGCUGUCUCCACCCGAGACUCAGUGAAAUUGAACUCGCUGUGAAGAUGCAGUGUACCCGCGGCAAGACGGAAAGACCCCGUGAACCUUUACUAUAGCUUGACACUGAACAUUGAGCCUUGAUGUGUAGGAUAGGUGGGAGGCUUUGAAGUGUGGACGCCAGUCUGCAUGGAGCCGACCUUGAAAUACCACCCUUUAAUGUUUGAUGUUCUAACGUUGGCCCGUAAUCCGGGUUGCGGACAGUGUCUGGUGGGUAGUUUGACUGGGGCGGUCUCCUCCUAAAGAGUAACGGAGGAGCACGAAGGUUGGCUAAUCCUGGUCGGACAUCAGGAGGUUAGUGCAAUGGCAUAAGCCAGCUUGACUGCGAGCGUGACGGCGCGAGCAGGUGCGAAAGCAGGUCAUAGUGAUCCGGUGGUUCUGAAUGGAAGGGCCAUCGCUCAACGGAUAAAAGGUACUCCGGGGAUAACAGGCUGAUACCGCCCAAGAGUUCAUAUCGACGGCGGUGUUUGGCACCUCGAUGUCGGCUCAUCACAUCCUGGGGCUGAAGUAGGUCCCAAGGGUAUGGCUGUUCGCCAUUUAAAGUGGUACGCGAGCUGGGUUUAGAACGUCGUGAGACAGUUCGGUCCCUAUCUGCCGUGGGCGCUGGAGAACUGAGGGGGGCUGCUCCUAGUACGAGAGGACCGGAGUGGACGCAUCACUGGUGUUCGGGUUGUCAUGCCAAUGGCACUGCCCGGUAGCUAAAUGCGGAAGAGAUAAGUGCUGAAAGCAUCUAAGCACGAAACUUGCCCCGAGAUGAGUUCUCCCUGACUCCUUGAGAGUCCUGAAGGAACGUUGAAGACGACGACGUUGAUAGGCCGGGUGUGUAAGCGCAGCGAUGCGUUGAGCUAACCGGUACUAAUGAACCGUGAGGCUUAACCUUACAACGCCGAAG
rnacentral:rRNA from 1 species